GACGAACGCUGGCGGCGUGCUUAACACAUGCAAGUCGAACGAAGUGGCGAACGGGUGAGUAACGCGUAAUCAACCUGCCCUUCAGAGGGGGACAACAGUUGGAAACGACUGCUAAUACCGCAUACUGAAGGAGGGGAUUGCGUCUGAUUAGCUCGGUGGAGGGGUAACGGCCCACCAAGGCGAUGAUCAGUAGCCGGUCUGGGAGGAUGAACGGCCACAUUGGGAAUGGGAACAGGGCCAGGCUCCUACGGGAGGCAGCAGGGGGGAAACUUCCGACAUGGGCGAAAGUCCGACGGAGCAACGCCGGGGGAUGGAUGACGGCCUUCGGGUUUGAAAGCUCUGUUAAUCGGGACGCGGUACCGGAAUAGAAAGCCACGGCUAACUACGUGCCAGCAGCCGCGGUAAUAC
rnacentral:rRNA from 1 species